AUCGCAACGGAUACACUUGAUUAUGACUGUGCAGCCAGCAGGCUCUGCCGUACGUAUGUCGCAGAGUGAUCUGCGAACCAUGCGUCACUUCCAGAGGUUGUCCUUUCGUGAUACUGGCGAGUCCUCCUUCCAGACUCGCUUGAAACGCGCUCGUCAUUACCGAGUCGUGCGGUCCCGCCUUCGAGAGUAUCGCCAGAUGGUCUUUCUUGAGAGCAGGGACCAGUAAUCGUGAGCGAUCAAGAAGAACGCGAGAAUCAUUGAAUAAAAUCCAACGUACUUGACGCUGUAAAGAAAUGCCUUAAUCAUAAUCGAAAAUAAGAGGAAAAUAAAGAAAAAGAUUUCCAAAUAUACGAGUGAAGAUCAAACAUGAGAGGUACGCGCGUAAACGGCAUAGCGCAGUCGCGUAAUCUUUCGCAAAAUGCGCAUGAAUGUUCUAAUUCGAGAGGGAAG